ensembl:lncRNA
GCGGGACUUUCGGCGUCGCGUUCCUAGCGUGUCGUGGGGGAGGUCUCAGCAGCGUCUGUACGAUCUGCGCGGGAGGCUGGGGUUCCUUGGUUGGUUCUUCGAAACGGAGCUGGGAAGGAUGUGAGCGCGUGGGGCCGUCCUUCGCGCCUUUGUACACGCCGUGACCUCCCUCUAAUGGAGGUGUCCAGCGGGGCACGCUGGCGCCGCACUCUUGGGUCCUCUCUGCCCGAAUCCCCGUAAACGGCGCCCUGAGCCUCGUAUGCAUCUUAUGCUAGGGAGUCUGAGGCUUGCUCGCGGUGCGAUCCUUAGCCCGAGGUCACACUCCUCGGCUCCCCAACACCAGGGCAGGCCUCAGGUGUGGGGUGGGCUGAGCUUGGACUUUCCCUGGGCGCCCGCCUACCCCGCGCUGCUGCUCCCGCUGGGCUCCGUGGCGGCGACGGCUCUGGUGGACACGGCUCAGAAACCUGGAGAGUUCCGCAGGACACGCCUCAGAUACCUGGCGAGUUCCCCAACCUCUCACUCUCUCGGACUCCCAAGCCCCAGCUUCCUAACAUACAGGAUGAAGGUGUCCUCGGACUCUGCUCCUUCCGCUCUCCCUUCCCUUGUUGGGAUCAUUUUCGGCCUACAGUCAAGAAUCCAGGCUAGAACUUUUAUGGGAUGACGGCAGGUUUUGGUAACCAAGGGGAUGUGAUGUCUAAAGCGUUGCUGCGGCAGGAACCAGGAUAUGCAAGUACUUGGAGGUUGUUUGUGUGGUGUGGAGGAUGGAGAAACAUCUUCUGGGCACAAUGUUUCUAUAGAAAAAGUUUCUUAGGAGUUUCCACCUAGAAGGCCCACCCCAGAGAGAUGUGUGGCCCCAACUUGAAAGAUGGUUUGCACCUAUCUGAGCAUCUGGGGACACGCCCUUGUGGAGAAACUGCUCCCAGGUGAGGCAUGUGGGAAAUAGUUCUCAUACAGCACACCCAAAGCAGCAGAGUGGAGAGAACUCUUCGGCAGGAAUGAAGGCAGGGCCUUGUUUAUGAAGAGCUGCAGAGCCUACAUGUCAGAGAAACCCUCCACAUGUAGGGAUACUGGGAAGGAUUUCUCGGCCAGCUAAGGCAUUUUCCAGCAAGAGGCCCCUCACACCAGGAGCAAGCCACACAGGGGCUCUGCAUGUGGGGAGCCUUUCACACUAGACAAAGGAAUCACAAGUGUAGCACAUGUGGGAAAGCCUUCAGCCACAAAGACGCUCUUGUUCAGCACCAGAGAAUCCACACUACAGAAAGGCCUUACAAGUGCCCUGAAUGUGGAAAAUCCUAUGGAAGCUUCCACCUUGUUCAGCACCAGAGAAAGCACACUGGAGCAAAGCCUCAUGAGUACAGCGAUGUGGGAAAGCCUUCAGCUGCAAAGACCCCCCUUGUUCAGCGCCAGAGGAUCCACAGUGCAGAAGGGCCUCGUGUGUGCUAUUAAUGUGUGAAAGUCUUUAGCUAAAGCUGCAUUCUUAUUGCACACUAGAAACUAGUUCACUGGUGAUAGGUCUUACGUGGAUGACAAAUAUGGGAAAUUCAUUAGCCAAAGCUCCUGCUGCAUUCAGCACUGCAAAAUUCACACGGGAGAGGCCUCAGGAGUGCAGCAACUGCGGGAAAGCCUUCACCAGGAGCUUUCUUGUUCUGCACCAGAACAAAAAGGCUUUAUCAGUGUAGCCAGUGUUGGAGUGCUUUUAGCUGCAUCUGUAAGUUCGUGCACCAGAACAUUCAGAUUAGAGAAAAGCCAUAUAAAGGCAUGAUGUCAUUCAGCACCAGAAAGUUCACACUGGAGAAAGUUCUUAGGAGUGCAGUGGAUAUGCUGUCUCCCUGUUCAACAUAGCUCAUACCAGAGGGCAGCUCUGAGAUUACCCUUUGUGAAGGCAUCAUCUGCCAGAAGUUAGAGCAUCCUACAUGUGAACCUCCAUGCUGGAGAGAUGCCUGAUGGGUGCCAGCUUGCAGAGGCUUCCUUGGACUCUAAGAACAUUGUUGUCUCAUGGAUGCUUGUGAUGGAUUUAUCCAGCCUCAGUCACUCAGACCCUGGAACUGACUACCCUGCAUUGCUCUGGUUUGCUGUGUGACUUUUGGAACAGCUACUUUUAAUGUUAUGAGUUUAAUCCAUCUUUAAAUUUGGGGGAAUUCUUUUUACUAUGUGGAGAGAAUUGAAAACAGAAGUGGGCUCUACCAGCAGGAAGAAGUGAGCAGCUUUUGAUGUGCUCCUAGCUCUGUGUGUGUUAGAAUUGUGUGCCUUGAAGUGGAUAGCAGUGUGACAGAAAACAGUUCUCAGUCCAGUUUUGGCCUAAAUUUCCUUGCUGACCAAGAUCUUCUGGGAAAGACUGAAAGACUUUGUGUAAUCUUAUGGUCUGGAUUCCAGGAUUUUUUUGUGGGCCCUGCCUUCCCUGGCUCUCAUCCCCAGGUGACUUAUUUGUUACUUUCACUAUAGAUUAAAUUGCUUUUUCU